rnacentral:rRNA from 1 species
GCCCCCCUCAAGAUGAGAUUUCCCAACUUCGGUUAUAAGAUCCCUCAAAGAUGAUGAGGUUAAUAGGUUCGAGGUGGAAGCAUGGUGACAUGUGGAGCUGACGAAUACUAAUCGAUCGAAGACUUAAUCAAAUU